UACAGAGGGGGCAAGCGUUGUUCGGAAUUACUGGGCGUAAAGGGCGCGUAGGCGGCCUGCUAAGUCGAACGUGAAAUCCCUGGGCUCAACCCAGGAACUGCGUCCGAUACUGGAUGGCUUGAAUUCGGGAGAGGGAUGCAGAAUUCCAGGUGUAGCGGUGAAAUGCGUAGAUAUCUGGAGGAAUACCGGUGGCGAAGGCGGCAUCCUGGACCGACACUGACGCUGAGGAGCGAAAGCCAGGGGAGCAAACGGG
rnacentral:rRNA from 1 species